rnacentral:rRNA from 1 species
GAUGAACGCUGGCGGCGUGCCUAAUACAUGCAAGUCGAGCGAACAGACGAGGAGCUUGCUCCUCUGACGUUAGCGGCGGACGGGUGAGUAACACGUGGAUAACCUACCUAUAAGACUGGGAUAACUUCGGGAAACCGGAGCUAAUACCGGAUAAUAUAUUGAACCGCAUGGUUCAAUAGUGAAAGACGGUUUUGCUGUCACUUAUAGAUGGAUCCGCGCCGCAUUAGCUAGUUGGUAAGGUAACGGCUUACCAAGGCGACGAUGCGUAGCCGACCUGAGAGGGUGAUCGGCCACACUGGAACUGAGACACGGUCCACACUCCUACGGGAGGCAGCAGUAGGGAAUCUUCCGCAAUGGGCGAAAGCCUGACGGAGCAACGCCGCGUGAGUGAUGAAGGUCUUCGGAUCGUAAAACUCUGUUAUUAGGGAAGAACAAAUGUGUAAGUAACUAUGCACGUCUUGACGGUACCUAAUCAGAAAGCCACGGCUAACUACGUG